rnacentral:RNase_P_RNA from 1 species
GAGGAAAGUCUGGGCUCUGAUUAGGAAGAUAUUGCUGUAUUAAACAACAGUGUAGGUGACUAUGAGGAUAGUGCCACAGAAAUAAACCGCUUAUAUAUACUUAAGUAAGGGUGCAAAGGUAUGGUAAAAGCAUACCAGGAAUAUAUUUAUCGUAUUUGCUAGGUAAACCCCGUAAUAGAGCAAAGUAAUCAGUUUUUCAAUAAGAUUUUCUAUAUUUAUUAUAUUGAAAAGAUAUGCGUAUUUUGUUAAUACUGAUUAGUGAAAACUGCAAGAAGUAAUAUAAGAAUAUCACUAAUAUACUAAAGAUUAAUAAUUACCCUUAUUAUAAGAUUUGUAUUUAUAUAAAUCUUAUAAUUAAGAACAAAACCCGGCUUAU